ACAAUCACUGCACUAAAAGCAAUUGUCUCUAUUUCUCGUUCUAUCCCUCUCGACAUCACAGCUACAACCCACAGCCGACCUCGCACUUUCCGCCCUCCGUUUCCCGUUCCAUAUUUACCGUCGUUGUCUCCUGCCAGAAAAGAAUUAUAGAUUCGUCAUUGUCAUUCUGGUUUCAAUCAUUAUCUCAGGCGUCAAUCAACUUGUCAUCCAACAGUUUUUUAGUUGUGUCGUCAUCUGAAUCGCUUCAUUGUCACUCAAUUCGCCGGAGCAGUGAAGAUUUGCAACAUUUGAUUAUUAGAAACAAUGGGGCUUUCGGAUUUAUUUUCCAUUGCUUCUUUUCCAGUUAUAAAGACGCUACUUUUCACUGUGGUUGGCUCUCUUCUUGCUCUGGAUCACAUAAACGUUUUGGGGGAAAUGGCAAGGAAGGAAUGGAAUGGUGUAGUGUUUUUUGUGUUCAAUCCAACACUAGUGGGAAGCAACCUGGCAUGUUGGUGGUGAUGAACUGUUGAUUGGCAAGCUAUCAUUGAUUCUCAACGUUUGGAUGUGGUUUCUUCAGAGAGGCCUGGACCCAUUGAUAAUGCUGAUUUAGUAGAAAAUAUUAAUGGUCCUGAAGGUGAUGCUCUAGAGCUUCUAGAAAUUUGGUGGAAGGGCAGGACUAUGUUUUAGUUCCUCAACAAGUUUGGGAAAAGCUUUUUCACUGGGUGAAUGAAUUUUUUAAUUGCUUCCAUGGGGGAAAUGGCAAGGAAGGAAUUGAAUGGUGUAAGCUUUUUCAUUGGAACAUGACUAUUUAAAACUACUAACUUGCCCACUAGUUCUCAAAUACGACAAAACAUUCUCUUGUUCAGUGCUCCAAAUUAUGAUGGAUGAAUCCCGGUAAAAAUACUUUCAAUUUCUCCCUUUUGUUUUUCCAGUUUAAUCUUAGCAAAUGUGUGUACUGAAAUUAGUUAAUUGAUAUUUGAUCCCACACAUUUGCAUCUAAGAGAAAAUUAAAAAAGUUCUACCACCACAAGUUAUGUAUGUGUGUGCUGAAAUAAUCUUUAUUUCAAGAUUGAUUUGAUUUUCAUGUCAGCAUGUUUAUCGUUUGUAAUGUUGCAUGCACAUCUCUUUUUAUUGUGUUUGCUACUGCUAUGUUCAUUGUUUGCUUGACUACUGCAAGGAUAUGAGUUCUGGUGUUUCUUUAUUUACUAUCUAAGGCUAAUGUUCUGUUAGAAAGUGGUGAAGCAAUUUUGGUGAGCACAUGAUAUGUUUCAUGUGCCAUUUAGGCAGGUUUGUUCAUACUGCAUUAUGAUCACUUGGGCUGGUGAAAUCCUAGAGUUUUGCUAUCACAUAGUUGUACAUGCAUAGAAAUAAAGAUAUUGAUUUUUUUAUGUAUAGGAGUUAUAUUUAAUAAGAUUGGAAAAGAUUUCUUUCAUGGAUUGAUUGCUACUGAAAUCAAUCUCUGACAUGCUUCUUGUGAGUCGCAUCACUGUAUUUUAAUGAGUCGCGUCACUAUAUAAAGAGGGCUCAUGAUUUGUUUCGCUUCUUAUUCUAAACAUUUUUUAACAUCUUGUAAGGUAGAAUAUGAUACUUCUUGGCAGAGGUAAGAAUACACAUCCUUCCGUCUACAGUUACAUUUUUUGGAGGCUGAAAAUUGUCUAAGUUUGCUGAUAUGAUCUUAUAAUCUCCUAGAAGUGAAAUUUUCACAGAUAAUGGGAUUUCAUAUCACAAAAUGUUUGAAGGGUUAUGCAAAUGUUCAUUCUAUCCUCUUCCUUCACAAUUUGUAUGUACUUGAAGAUAAAAGUGAAUUAUGAAACACUUGAUUGUACAUAAUACAUAGAUUCUUAAGUCACUUAUAACAACUUUUUAGUUUUUAUUA